CUGGCAGAACGUUAGACAAUAUUUCAACUUAGCAUCUCAUAGGCAGUUAAACAACGGACAAUUGGUAGAAGUGAAAGCCCUACUCCUGGCAAUGGGUCAUUUGAGCUUAGAGCCCUUGGAGGAAGGACCAUGUAACACCAUGGAAGGCAUUUCCCUCAAUAAAUCUCCUUCACUACUAACUCUGUCUUGGCACCUGAACCAACACCGGACCUAACCAACACAGUUUUGAGGAAGGCUGAAGAAGAGUGGGCUGGAGAAGAGGAAAUGAUACCAUGUUCUUUUAAGAAAAAAGAGGAAAAAGCCCACAAGAUGAACACUAUGGUGUAUAACCCUGUCAUGUCUUUUUAGCAAUGAACUUUGGAGCCCUGGAAACAAGUAGCCCUAAGUUACAACACUCAAUUUUAAUCCAGAGAAGCUGUGAAGAGAAAUUCAAAGGAAGGAUCAGGACUAAAGUAGAACUGUAUGCUACAGCCAACCAUACAGUUAUGGAUACAUUUUGGAAGUAGGCCCUCAAGAUUUCAUAACAGCAAUGACAAAUGUGGAAAACAAAAGCAAAGCUAAUUCCAGGAUGUGUCCGGUGAGGAAACUGAAGAUUAUAGCUGUUAUGAAUGUUGUGAAUGCUCAGGGUGUGUGUUAACAAAUGGAAGAGCUAGUAUUUGAAAUUACGUCUGUCUGAAACC
rnacentral:lncRNA from 1 species